rnacentral:rRNA from 1 species
UACGUAGGGUGCAAGCGUUAUUCGGAAUUACUGGGCGUAAAGCGUGCGCAGGCGGUUUCUUAAGUCAGAUGUGAAAGCCCCGGGCUUAACCUGGGAACUGCGUUUGAAACUGGGAGACUGGAGUGUGGCAGAGGGGGGUGGAAUUCCACGUGUAGCAGUGAAAUGCGUAGAUAUGUGGAGGAACACCGAUGGCGAAGGCAGCUCCCUGGGUUAACACUGACGCUCAGGCACGAAAGCGUGGGGAGCAAACAGG